AACCGAGGGGCGCGUCUGCCCAUUACAGCGGUAACUCAUUAGCCCAAAAGGCAUAGGGUUACUUAAGGCAGGGUCUCACUCGGAUCUUGUAUCUUCACAUCGCCUCUAAGUAUUGUAAACUCUGGUAACUGCUGUUUGUUCAGAAAGUUGGAAAUACAAAAUGAAGGAGUCAGCGGGACUGCAUUUCUUCUGGAGACCCGAUGAGAAUCCUUUUGAUGAAUGCUAAUAGCUAUGUGCAAAAUCUUGGAUUUGCCUAUGACUUCAAGAACAUCUACAGAACUGUAUGAGAGAGAAAAAGCCAGCCUCCUCAAAUAACUUGGCUUAAGCAAGCUAUUUAUCAUACUCACCGAACAGAAGGUCAGCAGUCAUCGUUUCAGACAGCUGAGGAGAUUUAGUCUACAGGAGCAAGCAUCCCCGGGACUCAGAAGCUUAAAAUAAUGGAGUGUACUCAGCAACUUUCAGCACUAGGAGAGCUAGCCAGUAUAGAAGAAGCCUCUGGGAAACUUGAUUUUUCCAUAUUCUGUAACUCAAGUAUGUGCUGUCUUCAGAAAUAAGGUCUCACUGUUAAGUUCUGAAGAGUUACUGAGAGAAGUGACAAUGGCACGUAAUAUUUAGAGGUUUGGGGGAACCUCACUGCUCAGCACCUCCAAAAGAAGUAAUCCAUCCUGGAUUGGGGGUUUUAUUUUAACGAUUUCCUGUAUUUUAAUGACUAAAAUCUAAGUUGCAUGGCAAAAGCUGAUGUCAUGGGGCAGGAAUGACACUUGUUCCUCAUGGAAAGGCACUAACUAUGUUCAACAAUAAUCUAAUAUAACCUGUCACUCUCUUAUACCAGUACCUUUUGCAUUAUUCUCUUUGCUAUGUAAAAUAUUCUCUACUCAUAAAACUAAAAAAUGGGAGUGAACAAAUAUUUAAUAAACAUUUGAAGAGUGACAAAUGAUAUAUCUAUAUGAUUGAAUAUUCACCAAUAAAAAUAAAUCAAGUAUUGAUAUACAGU
ensembl:lincRNA uncharacterized LOC110325041